UACGGGGGGGGCAAGCGUUGUUCGGAAUUACUGGGCGUAAAGGGCUCGUAGGCGGCCAACUAAGUCAGACGUGAAAUCCCUCGGCUUAACCGGGGAACUGCGUCUGAUACUGGAUGGCUAGAGUGUGGGAGAGGGAUGCGGAAUUCCAGGUGUAGCGGUGAAAUGCGUAGAUAUCAGGAGGAACACCAGUGGCGAAGGCGACUUCCUGGCCUGUUCUUGACGCUGAGGCGCGAAAGCUAGGGUAGCAAACGGG
rnacentral:rRNA from 1 species